CGGACGGGUGAGUAACGCGUGGGUAACCUGCCCUAUACAGGGGGAUAACAGUUAGAAAUGACUGCUAAUACCGCAUAAGCGCACAGGACCGCAUGGUUCAGUGUGAAAAACUGAGGUGGUAUAGGAUGGACCCGCGUCUGAUUAGCUAGUUGGUGGGGUAACGGCUCACCAAGGCGACGAUCAGUAGCCGGCCUGAGAGGGCGACCGGCCACAUUGGGACUGAGACACGGCCCAAACUCCUACGGGAGGCAGCAG
rnacentral:rRNA from 1 species